rnacentral:rRNA from 1 species
UACGAAGGGGGCUAGCGUUGUUCGGAAUUACUGGGCGUAAAGCGCGUGUAGGCGGUUGUUCAAGUCAGGUGUGAAAGCCUUGAGCUCAACUCAAGAAAUGCACUUGAUACUGGAUGACUAGAGGACCGGAGAGGAUAGUGGAAUUCCCAGUGUAGUGGUGAAAUACGUAGAGAUUGGGAAGAACACCAGUGGCGAAGGCGGCUCACUGGCGUCGAUACUGACGCUGAGGUGCGAAAGCGUGGGGAG